GUCUAUGGCCAUACUACCCUGAACAUGCCCGAUCUCGUCUGAUCUCAGAAGCUAAGCAGGGUCAGGCCUAGUUAGUACUUGGAUGGGAGAAAGCUGCCUCCAAGCACUUGGCUUAGCCUAGGUG